rnacentral:rRNA from 1 species
UCGCUCCUACCGAUUGAGUGAUCCGGUGAAUUAAUUGGACUGCAGCGCUUUCAGUUUACUGUGGUGUUACAGAAAAAUUUGUGAACCUUAUCACUUAGAGGAAGGAG